rnacentral:misc_RNA from 1 species
GUUGCGCCCCGACUUGAACGGAGCUCUUUUUAAUUGAUGACUGAGCUUGUCUUGGUGGUUGAGCAUGCCGAAACUAAGGCAGCAAUUAAAAAAGCGGGAGUGGAAGGCGGAAAUUGGC